GGUUAAGCGACUAAGCGUACACGGUGGAUGCCCUGGCAGUCAGAGGCGAUGAAGGACGUGCUAAUCUGCGAUAAGCGUCGGUAAGGUGAUAUGAACCGUUAUAACCGGCGAUUUCCGAAUGGGGAAACCCAGUGUGUUUCGACACACUAUCAUUAACUGAAUCCAUAGGUUAAUGAGGCGAACCGGGGGAACUGAAACAUCUAAGUACCCCGAGGAAAAGAAAUCAACCGAGAUUCCCCCAGUAGCGGCGAGCGAACGGGGAGCAGCCCAGAGCCUGAAUCAGUAUGUGUGUUAGUGGAAGCGUCUGGAAAGGCGCGCGAUACAGGGUGACAGCCCCGUACACAAAAAUGCACAUAUUGUGAGCUCGAUGAGUAGGGCGGGACACGUGGUAUCCUGUCUGAAUAUGGGGGGACCAUCCUCCAAGGCUAAAUACUCCUGACUGACCGAUAGUGAACCAGUACCGUGAGGGAAAGGCGAAAAGAACCCCGGCGAGGGGAGUGAAAAAGAACCUGAAACCGUGUACGUACAAGCAGUGGGAGCACGCUUAGGCGUGUGACUGCGUACCUUUUGUAUAAUGGGUCAGCGACUUAUAUUCUGUAGCAAGGUUAACCGAAUAGGGGAGCCGAAGGGAAACCGAGUCUUAACUGGGCGUUAAGUUGCAGGGUAUAGACCCGAAACCCGGUGAUCUAGCCAUGGGCAGGUUGAAGGUUGGGUAACACUAACUGGAGGACCGAACCGACUAAUGUUGAAAAAUUAGCGGAUGACUUGUGGCUGGGGGUGAAAGGCCAAUCAAACCGGGAGAUAGCUGGUUCUCCCCGAAAGCUAUUUAGGUAGCGCCUCGUGAAUUCAUCUCCGGGGGUAGAGCACUGUUUCGGCAAGGGGGUCAUCCCGACUUACCAACCCGAUGCAAACUGCGAAUACCGGAGAAUGUUAUCACGGGAGACACACGGCGGGUGCUAACGUCCGUCGUGAAGAGGGAAACAACCCAGACCGCCAGCUAAGGUCCCAAAGUCAUGGUUAAGUGGGAAACGAUGUGGGAAGGCCCAGACAGCCAGGAUGUUGGCUUAGAAGCAGCCAUCAUUUAAAGAAAGCGUAAUAGCUCACUGGUCGAGUCGGCCUGCGCGGAAGAUGUAACGGGGCUAAACCAUGCACCGAAGCUGCGGCAGCGACGCUUAUGCGUUGUUGGGUAGGGGAGCGUUCUGUAAGCCUGUGAAGGUGUGCUGUGAGGCAUGCUGGAGGUAUCAGAAGUGCGAAUGCUGACAUAAGUAACGAUAAAGCGGGUGAAAAGCCCGCUCGCCGGAAGACCAAGGGUUCCUGUCCAACGUUAAUCGGGGCAGGGUGAGUCGACCCCUAAGGCGAGGCCGAAAGGCGUAGUCGAUGGGAAACAGGUUAAUAUUCCUGUACUUGGUGUUACUGCGAAGGGGGGACGGAGAAGGCUAUGUUGGCCGGGCGACGGUUGUCCCGGUUUAAGCGUGUAGGCUGGUUUUCCAGGCAAAUCCGGAAAAUCAAGGCUGAGGCGUGAUGACGAGGCACUACGGUGCUGAAGCAACAAAUGCCCUGCUUCCAGGAAAAGCCUCUAAGCAUCAGGUAACAUCAAAUCGUACCCCAAACCGACACAGGUGGUCAGGUAGAGAAUACCAAGGCGCUUGAGAGAACUCGGGUGAAGGAACUAGGCAAAAUGGUGCCGUAACUUCGGGAGAAGGCACGCUGAUAUGUAGGUGAAGUCCCUCGCGGAUGGAGCUGAAAUCAGUCGAAGAUACCAGCUGGCUGCAACUGUUUAUUAAAAACACAGCACUGUGCAAACACGAAAGUGGACGUAUACGGUGUGACGCCUGCCCGGUGCCGGAAGGUUAAUUGAUGGGGUUAGCCGCAAGGCGAAGCUCUUGAUCGAAGCCCCGGUAAACGGCGGCCGUAACUAUAACGGUCCUAAGGUAGCGAAAUUCCUUGUCGGGUAAGUUCCGACCUGCACGAAUGGCGUAAUGAUGGCCAGGCUGUCUCCACCCGAGACUCAGUGAAAUUGAACUCGCUGUGAAGAUGCAGUGUACCCGCGGCAAGACGGAAAGACCCCGUGAACCUUUACUAUAGCUUGACACUGAACAUUGAGCCUUGAUGUGUAGGAUAGGUGGGAGGCUUUGAAGUGUGGACGCCAGUCUGCAUGGAGCCGACCUUGAAAUACCACCCUUUAAUGUUUGAUGUUCUAACGUUGACCCGUAAUCCGGGUUGCGGACAGUGUCUGGUGGGUAGUUUGACUGGGGCGGUCUCCUCCUAAAGAGUAACGGAGGAGCACGAAGGUUGGCUAAUCCUGGUCGGACAUCAGGAGGUUAGUGCAAUGGCAUAAGCCAGCUUGACUGCGAGCGUGACGGCGCGAGCAGGUGCGAAAGCAGGUCAUAGUGAUCCGGUGGUUCUGAAUGGAAGGGCCAUCGCUCAACGGAUAAAAGGUACUCCGGGGAUAACAGGCUGAUACCGCCCAAGAGUUCAUAUCGACGGCGGUGUUUGGCACCUCGAUGUCGGCUCAUCACAUCCUGGGGCUGAAGUAGGUCCCAAGGGUAUGGCUGUUCGCCAUUUAAAGUGGUACGCGAGCUGGGUUUAGAACGUCGUGAGACAGUUCGGUCCCUAUCUGCCGUGGGCGCUGGAGAACUGAGGGGGGCUGCUCCUAGUACGAGAGGACCGGAGUGGACGCAUCACUGGUGUUCGGGUUGUCAUGCCAAUGGCACUGCCCGGUAGCUAAAUGCGGAAGAGAUAAGUGCUGAAAGCAUCUAAGCACGAAACUUGCCCCGAGAUGAGUUCUCCCUGACUCC
rnacentral:rRNA from 1 species